rnacentral:rRNA from 1 species
GAUGAACGCUGGCGGCGUGCCUAAUACAUGCCAGUCGAGCGAACGGACGAGAAGCUUGCUUCUCUGAUGUUAGCGGCGGACGGGUGAGUAACACGUGGAUAACCUACCUAUAAGACUGGGAUAACUUCGGGAAACCGUAGCUAAUACCGGAUAAUAUUUUGAACCGCAUGGUUCAAAAGUGAAAGACGGUCUUGCUGUCACUUAUAGAUGGAUCCGCGCUGCAUUAGCUAGUUGGUAAGGUAACGGCUUACCAAGGCAACGAUGCAUAGCCGACCUGAGAGGGUGAUCGGCCACACUGGAACUGAGACACGGUCCAGACUCCUACGGGAGGAAGCAGUAGGGAAUCUUCCGCAAUGGGCGAAAGCCUGACGGAGCAACGCCGCGUGAGUGAUGAAGGUCUUCGGAUCGUAAAAAUCUGUUAUUAGGGAAGAACAUAUGUGUAAGUAACUGUGCACAUCUUGACGGUACCUAAUCAGAAAGCCACGGCUAACUACGUG